rnacentral:rRNA from 1 species
UGCUAUACAUGCAAGUCGAGCGAACGGACGAGAAGCUUGCUUCUCUGAUGUUAGCGGCGGACGGGUGAGUAACACGUGGAUAACCUACCUAUAAGACUGGGAUAACUUCGGGAAACCGGAGCUAAUACCGGAUAAUAUUUUGAACCGCAUGGUUCAAAAGUGAAAGACGGUCUUGCUGUCACUUAUAGAUGGAUCCGCGCUGCAUUAGCUAGUUGGUAAGGUAACGGCUUACCAAGGCAACGAUGCAUAGCCGACCUGAGAGGGUGAUCGGCCACACUGGAACUGAGACACGGUCCAGACUCCUACGGGAGGCAGCAGUAGGGAAUCUUCCGCAAUGGGCGAAAGCCUGACGGAGCAACGCCGCGUGAGUGAUGAAGGUCUUCGGAUCGUAAAACUCUGUUAUUAGGGAAGAACAUAUGUGUAAGUAACUGUGCACAUCUUGACGGUACCUAAUCAGAAAGCCACGGCUAACUACGUGCCAGCAGCCGCGGUAAUACGUAGGUGGCAAGCGUUAUCCGGAAUUAUUGGGCGUAAAGCGCGCGUAGGCGGUUUUUUAAGUCUGAUGUGAAAGCCCACGGCUCAACCGUGGAGGGUCAUUGGAAACUGGAAAACUUGAGUGCAGAAGAGGAAAGUGGAAUUCCAUGUGUAGCGGUGAAAUGCGCAGAGAUAUGGAGGAACACCAGUGGCGAAGGCGACUUUCUGGUCUGUAACUGACGCUGAUGUGCGAAAGCGUGGGGAUCAAACAGGAUUAGAUACCCUGGUAGUCCACGCCGUAAACGAUGAGUGCUAAGUGUUAGGGGGUUUCCGCCCCUUAGUGCUGCAGCUAACGCAUUAAGCACUCCGCCUGGGGAGUACGACCGCAAGGUUGAAACUCAAAGGAAUUGACGGGGACCCGCACAAGCGGUGGAGCAUGUGGUUUAAUUCGAAGCAACGCGAAGAACCUUACCAAAUCUUGAC